AUUGAACGCUGGCGGCAGGCCUAACACAUGCAAGUCGAGCGAGCGGCGGACGGGUGAGUAAUGUCUGGGAAACUGCCUGAUGGAGGGGGAUAACUACUGGAAACGGUAGCUAAUACCGCAUACCAUCAGAUGUGCCCAGAUGGGAUUAGCUAGUCUGUGGGGUAAUGGCUCACCUAGGCGACGAUCCAUAGCUGGUCUGAGAGGAUGACCCGCCACCCUGGAACUGAGACACGGUCCAGACUCCUCCGUGAGGCAGCAGUGGGGAAUAUUGCACAAUGGGCGCAAGCCUGAUGCAGCCAUGCCGCGUGUGUGAAGAAGGCCUUCGGUUUGUAAAGCACUUUCAGCGGGGAGGCGUUACCCGCAGAAGAAGCACCGGCUAACUCCGUGCCAGCAGCCGCGGUAAUUC
rnacentral:rRNA from 1 species